CCUACGGGAGGCAGCAGUAAGGAAUAUUGGUCAAUGGGCGCAAGCCUGAACCAGCCAUGCCGCGUGCAGGAAGACGGCCCUAUGGGUUGUAAACUGCUUUUGAACAAGAGAAAACCUCGGUACGUGUACCGAGCUGAUAGUAUUGUUAGAAUAAGCAUCGGCUAACUUCGUGCCAGCAGCCGCGGUAAGACGAAGGAUGCAAGCGUUAUCCGGAUUCAUUGGGUUUAAAGGGUGCGUAGGCGGCCUGAUAAGUCAGUGGUGAAAUCUCUCAGCUUAACUGAGAAACUGCCAUUGAUACUGUCGGGCUUGAGUACAGAUGAUGUGGGCGGAAUAUGACAUGUAGUGGUGAAAUACUUAGAUAUGUCAUAGAACACCGAUUGCGAAGGCAGCUCACAAAACCUGUAACUGACGCUGAGGCACGAAAGUGCGGGGAUCAAACCAGGAUUAGAUACCCUGGUAGUCCGCACCGUAAACCGAUGAUUACUCGUUGUUGGUCAAUAUGACCGUUCAGCGACCAAGCGAAAGCGAUAAGUAAUCCACCCUGGGGAGUACGCCGGCACGGUGAAACGUCAAAUGAAUUGACGG
rnacentral:rRNA from 1 species